rnacentral:misc_RNA from 1 species
CGCACAUUGCGCCCGCCAGUAUUCUGGCGGGCAUGCCUGUUCGAGCGUCAUUUCAACCCCUCAGGCCCUGGUGCCUGGCGUCGGGGCUCCUCCCUCGCGGGAGGGCCCCUAGAGACAGUGGCGGACCCGCCGCGGCUCCGAGCGCAGUAGUAACAUUCUCGCUUAGGAGGCCCGCGGGGUGGCUCCCGGCCGUAAAACCAAGCCCCUCAAAAGGCUUACUUCUCAAGGUUGACCUCGGAUCAGGUAGGAAUACCCGCUGAACUUAA